CCUACGGGUGGCUGCAGUGGGGAAUAUUGGACAAUGGGGGCAACCCUGAUCCAGCCAUGCCGCGUGUGUGAAGAAGGCCCUCGGGUUGUAAAGCACUUUCAGUGAGGAAGAACGCCUGGUGGUUAAUACCCAUCAGGAAAGACAUCACUCACAGAAGAGGCACGGGCUAACUCCGUGCCAGCAGCCGCGGUAAUACGGAGGGUGCGAGCGUUAAUCGGAAUUACUGGGCGUAAAGCGCGCGUAGGUGGCUUGAUAAGCCGGUUGUGAAAGCCCCGGGCUCAACCUGGGAACGGCAUCCGGAACUGUCAAGCUAGAGUGCAGGAGAGGAAGGUAGAAUUCCCGGUGUAGCGGUGAAAUGCGUAGAGAUCGGGAGGAAUACCAGUGGCGAAGGCGGCCUUCUGGACUGACACUGACACUGAGGUGCGAAAGCGUGGGUAGCAAACAGGAUUAGAUACCCCGGUAGUC
rnacentral:rRNA from 1 species